rnacentral:rRNA from 1 species
GAAAGUAAAGAAGGGCGCAUGGCGGAUGCCUUGGCUCUCGGAGGCGAUGAAGGACGUGAUAAGCUGCGAUAAGCUUUGGGGAGGUGCAAAUGACCUUUGAUCCAGAGAUUUCCGAAUGGGACAACCCAAUAUCUUGAAGAGGUAUUAUCCAACGUUGUUGGAGGCUAACGCAGGGAACUGAAACAUCUUAGUACCUGCAGGAAAAGAAAAUAAACAAUGAUUCCCCCAGUAGUGGCGAGCGAACGGGGAACAGCCCAAACCAUCCAUGUUACGGCAUGGGUGGGGUUGUAGGACUACGCCGUUGCAUGAAGACAUCAGAGAAGAACUUUCUGGAAAGAAAGACCAUAGAGCAUGACAGUUGCGUAUUCGAAUGUUGUCGAAGCAUAGUAGUAUCCUGAGUAGCGCGGAGCACGAGGAAUUCUGCGUGAAUCUGCCGGGACCAUCCGGUAAGGCUAAAUACUCCCGAGAGACCGAUAGCGAACCAGUACCGUGAGGGAAAGGUGAAAAGCACUUCGAACAGAAGAGUGAAAUAGUUCCUGAAACCGUGCGCCUACAAGCGGUCGGAGCUCGUUAAUGAGUGACGGCGUGCCUUUUGCAUAAUGAACCUACGAGUUGCCUUUGCCGGCAAGGUUAAGUGUGACGACACACGUAUCCGAAGCGAAAGCGAGUCUGAACAGGGCGUAUAGUCGGCAGUGGCAGACGCGAAACCAAGUGAUCUACCCUUGGCCAGGUUGAAGGCUGGGUAACACCAGCUGGAGGACCGCACCAAUAAGCGUUGAAAAGCUUCUGGAUGAGCUGAGGGUAGGGGUGAAAGGCUAAUCAAACUUGGAGAUAGCUCGUACUCCCCGAAAUGCAUUUAGGUGCAGCCUUGCGGGUUACUGAUGUGAGGUAGAGCGACUGAUAAGAUGCGAGGGCUUCACCGCCUAUCAAGUCUUGACAAACUCCGAAUGCGCAUCAGUUCUACCGCAGGAGUGAGGGCAUGGGUGCUAAGGUCCGUGCCCGAGAGGAGAAGAAUCCGGACCACCUGCUAAGGUCCCGAAAUGACAGCUAAGUUAAACUAACGAAGUCUGACUGCUAAGACAGCUAGGAUGUUGGCUUGGAAGCAGCCAUUCAUUUAAAGAGUGCGUAACAGCUCACUAGUCGAGGAGUCGGGCGUGGAUAAUAAUCGGGUAUCAAGUUGUCUACCGAAGCAGUGGGAUCAUUUAUAUGAUCGGUAGGGGAGCAUUCCAGUCAGCGUCGAAGGCGUACCGUGAGGUAUUCUGGAGCGUCUGGAAAAGCAAAUGUAGGUAUAAGUAACGAUAAAGGGGGCGGGAAACCCCCUCGCCGAAAGACUAAGGUUUCCUGAUCAACGCUAAUCGGAUCAGGGUCAGUCGGGUCCUAAGGCUCAGCCGAACGGCGAUGCCGAUGGCAGAAACGGUUAAUAUUCCGUUACUACCUUCAGGAGUGACGUGGAGACGCAGUAGUGACAGUGCCGCCAUCUGACGGAAUAGAUGGUUGAAGGGUGUAGGAGUCGAUCAUGGCAGGCAAAUCCACCAUGAGAUCCGAACCUGAUAGUAUGCCGCGUCCUUCGGGACAAGGCAAUAGUGCGCGUAAGCAUGCUGCCGAGAAAAUCCGCUAAACUUAAUCCUGUAGGUACCCGUACCGCAAACGGACACACGUAGUCGGGAUGAAUAUUCUAAGGCGCUUGAGUGAUUCACGGUUAAGGAACUAGGCAAACUGACCCUGUAACUUCGGGAUAAAGGGUCCCUACCCUUUUAUGGGAGGGCGCAGAGAAUCGGUCCAGGCAACUGUUUAACAAAAACACAGGGCUGUGCCAAAUCGAAAGAUCCAGUAUACAGCCUGACACCUGCCCGGUGCUGGAAGGUUAAGAGGAGAUGUCAUCGAUAAGAGAAGCGUUGAAUUGAAGCCCCAGUAAACGGCGGCCGUAACUAUAACGGUCCUAAGGUAGCGAAAUUCCUUGUCG